GUUGGCUCUUGUCUAUGUUUCUUGGAACAGGACGUCACAGAGGGUGAGAAUCCCGUGCGAUGAGAUGCCCAAUCCUAUGUAAGGUGCUUUCGAAGAGUCGAGUUGUUUGGGAAUGCAGCUCUAAGUGGGUGGUAAAUUCCAUCUAAAGCUAAAUAUUGGCGAGAGACCGAUAGCGAACAAGUACAGUGAUGGAAAGAUGAAAAGAACUUUGAAAAGAGAGUGAAAAAGUACGUGAAAUUGUUGAAAGGGAAGGGUUUGAGAUCAGACUCGAUAUUUUGUGAGCCUUGCCUUCGUGGCGGGGUGACCCGCAGCUUAUCGGGCCAGCAUCGGUUUGGGCGGUAGGAUAAUGGCGUAGGAAUGUGACUUUGCUUCGGUGAAGUGUUAUAGCCUGCGUUGAUGCUGCCUGCCUAGACCGAGGACUGCGAUUUUAUCAAGGAUGCUGGCAUAAUGAUCCCAAACC
rnacentral:rRNA from 1 species